GAUGAACGCUGGCGGUAUGCCUUACACAUGCAAGUCGUACGAGAGUUUUUAACUCAAGUGGCGGACGGGUGAGUAACACGUAAGAAUUUGCCUUUAGGAGGGGGACAACAACUGGAAACGGUUGCUAAUACCCCAUAUGCUUUCGAGUGAAACGGAUUUUCCGCCUAAAGAGAAGCUUGCGGCUGAUUAGCUUGUUGGUGAGGUAAUGGCUCACCAAGGCGACGAUCAGUAUCUGGUGAGAGGAUGAUCAGACACACUGGAACUGAGACACGGUCCAGACUCCUACGGGAGGCAGCAGUGGGGAAUUUUCCGCAAUGGGCGAAAGCCUGACGGAGCAAUACCGCGUGAGGAUGACUGCCUAUGGUUGUAAACCUCUUCGCGGACGAAUGGUUCGUGCUAAUACCACGGACUGAUGACGGUACCCGAAGAAG
rnacentral:rRNA from 1 species